CGCCGAUUGUGAAAGCGCUCGAUGCUUGCCACGACUUCCUCGGGCGCAUCGGCGAUGACAAAGGCAAGCAGUGUCUCGAGAAGGGCAAUUGUCGAGACGGAUGACGGAAAGAAUUGAGGCGUUUCCGCAUCGACGACAAAGGCAUGAUCGCUGCCGACCACGAUGGGCGAGGCGGGGCUGUCGGAUAUCGCGAUGAUGGUCAGCCCCUGUUCCCGCGCGACUUCUACGGCAGCAACAACAUCCGUCCUGUAGGGCUUGCAGGUCAUGGCAAGGAGGACAUCGUUCUUGUCUGCCCUCGCCAGGUCAUCGGUUGCGAUCGUAACAGCUCACUGGUCUAAAUAAGUUGUCCUGCGGCGAAGAUGUAACGGGGCUCAAGCCAUGAGCCGAAGUCUAGGGAUGCGUAAGCAUCGGUAGCAGAGCGUAGUGUGACAUAGUUCCUAUCCUCUUCUACAUCCCUCGGGAUGUAGCGCAGGAUAAGGAGCUUUCGAUGAAGCCGGGGCGUGAGCCAUCCGGUGGAGAGAUCACUAGUGAGAAUGAUGACAUGAGUAGCGACAAAGAGUGUGAGAGACACUCUCGCCGAAAGUCCAAGGGUUCCUGCUUAAAGCUAAUCUGAGCAGGGUAAGCCGGCCCCUAAGCCGAGGCCGAAAGGCGUAGGCGAUGGGAACCACGUUAAUAUUCGUGGGCCAGAUGGAAGUGACGGAUCUCGAAGAUUGUUCCUCCUUAAGGAAUUGAUCGAAGUAUUGCUUCCUUCAGAGCGAGGUCGAGAGUCCGUCCGGCACAAGAUAGCCUUCGAUAUUUGAACCGAAUGUUCCAUGUUCUACGAGUUGGCUGCCCUCGGCGGGACAUGCAU
rnacentral:rRNA from 1 species